UACGUAGGGGGCUAGCGUUGUCCGGAAUCAUUGGGCGUAAAGAGCGUGUAGGCGGUCCGGUAAGUCCGCUGUGAAAGUCGGGGGGCUCAACCCUCGAAUGCCGGUGGAUACUGUCGGGCUAGAGUGCGGAAGAGGCGAGUGGAAGUCCUGGUGUAGCGGUGAAAGUGCGCAGAUAUCAGGAGGAACACCUAUUGCGAAGGCAGCUCGCUGGGACGUAACUGACGCUGAGACGCGAAAGCGUGGGGAGCAAACAGG
rnacentral:rRNA from 1 species